rnacentral:rRNA from 1 species
AGUGAACGCUGGCGGUAGGCCUAACACAUGCAAGUCGAACGGCAGCACAGGAGAGCUUGCUCUCUGGGUGGCGAGUGGCGGACGGGUGAGGAAUACAUCGGAAUCUACUCUGUCGUGGGGGAUAACGUAGGGAAACUUACGCUAAUACCGCAUACGACCUACGGGUGAAAGCAGGGGACCCUCGGGCCUUGCGCGAUGGAAUGAGCCGAUGUCGGAUUAGCUAGUUGGCGGGGUAAAGGCCCACCAAGGCGACGAUCCGUAGCUGGUCUGCGAGGAUGAUCAGCCACACUGGAACUGAGACACGGUCCAGACUCCUACGGGAGGCAGCAGUGGGGAAUAUUGGACAAUGGGCGCAAGCCUGGUCCAGCCAUACCGCGUGGGUGAAGAAGGCCUUCGGGUUGUAAAGCCCUUUUGUCGGGAAAGAAAUCCAGCUGGCUAAUACCCGGUUGGGAUGACGGUACCCAAAGAAUAAGCACCGGCUAACUUCGUGCCAGCCGCCGCCGUAA